UGGGGAAUAUUGGACAAUGGGGGGAACCCUGAUCCAGCCAUGCCGCGUGUGUGAAGAAGGCCUUAUGGUUGUAAAGCACUUUAAGCGAGGAGGAGGGUACUGGUAUUAAUACUACCAGCUACUGGACGUUACUCGCAGAAUAAGCACCGGCUAACUCUGUGCCAGCAGCCGCGGUAAUACAGAGGGUGCGAGCGUUAAUCGGAUUUACUGGGCGUAAAGCGUGCGUAGGCGGCUAAUUGAGUCGGAUGUGAAAUCCCCGAGCUUAACUUGGGAAUUGCAUUCGAUACUGGUUAGCUAGAGUGUGGGAGAGGAUGGUAGAAUUCCAGGUGUAGCGGUGAAAUGCGUAGAGAUCUGGAGGAAUACCGAUGGCGAAGGCAGCCAUCUGACCUAACACUGACGCUGAGGUACGAAAGCAUGGGGAGCAAACAGG
rnacentral:rRNA from 1 species